UUUGCAGGUAAUAACCCACCACCAAAGCCAUGGGAGCGUGUUGGGACUUCAUCUGGUCCAGCGCCUUUCAAACCCCCAUCUGGAGGCAGCACUAGUGACGUUGUUGAGGCCUCUGGGACAGCAAAACCUGGGGAAGUUGUUUCUGCUUCACAGAGCAAUGCUGCUUUCAACGUGAACAAUACAGUUGCAGGGCCUGUGCCCCCGCGUCCCUGGCAGCAGCAAGGAUACGGAAAUACUUAUGGGGGUUAUGGUGCCAGUACCUAUAAUUCAUAUGGUGGAUUUGGUGGGGCUUAUAGUAACGGUGGGCUAUACGGAAAUAAUAACAUGUAUUCAGGGUUUGGAGGUGGUUACGGCAGUUCAUACAGGGGCUCUGGAAUGUAUGGUGGGUCAAUGUAUAAUAACGGGAUGGGAAAUCCAUACGGUGGUAUGGGCAUGUCUCCUUACAAUCAGGGUCCUAAUUCAUUUGGUCCUCCAGCACCACCCCCAGGUUUCUGGGUGUCCUUCCUACGAGUGAUGCAUGGGAUUGUGAAUUUCUCUGGACGAGUUGCUUUCCUUAUCAGCCAGAAUACUCAGGCAUUCCACAUGUUCAUCACAGCUCUUUUGCAGCUAUGUGAUAAGUCUGGUAUGCUUUAUGGUGAGCUUGCGAGAUUCACAUUUCGAUUGCUGGGGAUCAAAACCAAACCAAAUAAGGGCAGAAUUCAGGGUGCACAAGCUCCAUCAUCGGAUGGGCCUGGCCAGCAGUUCGUUGAGGCACCAAAAGCUAGCAAGAACUCAUGGGAGAACGUCUGGAGCGGCGAUGCUAAGGGAAUGUGA
rnacentral:rRNA from 1 species